rnacentral:rRNA from 1 species
AUAUUGGACAAUGGGCGUAAGCCUGAUCCAGCCAUGCCGCGGUUGUGAAUAAGGUCUUCGGAUUGUAAAGCACUUGAAGUUGUGAGGACGGGCAGUAAGUUAAUACCUUGCUGUUUUGACGUUACCGCCAGAUUAAGCACGGGCUAACCCUGUUCCAGCAUCCGCGGUAAUACGAAGGGUGCAAGCGUUAAUCGGAUGUACCGGGCGUAACGCGCGCGUAGGUGGUUCGUUAAGUUGGAACUGGAAGCCCCGGGCUUAACCUGGGAAUUGCUUUCAAAACUGACGAGCUAGAGUACGGUAGAGGGUAGUGGAAUUUCCUGUGUAGCGGUGAAAUGCGUAGAUAUAGGAAGGAACAUCAGUGGCGAAGGCGACUACCUGGACUGAUACUGACACUGAGGUGCGAAAGCGUGGGGAGCAAACAGG